rnacentral:rRNA from 1 species
AUGAUCAUGCGCUUGUGGGAAUUGAGAAGAAGGAUUGGUGAUUGUCUACAAGGGGAUAAGCUUCCUGCAGUGGUACAACAGGUGGUCAGCAGGAGCAGAAAUCUUACGCAUUUAUCUGUUGAAAAAUCUUCUGUGUGGGGUGCUGAAGUUAGAGAUACCAAAACUGGUAGAAGGCAUGUUGUUAACACUGAAAUGCAUGAUUGCACUUGUUUGGAGUGGCACCACACUGGGAAACCAUGUGAUCAUGCCAUACUUUUCUUGGCCUCCCGACGGAAGAUAAACAUGCACCCAUAUUUGCACGAAUAUUACUCAGUAGCAAGAUUCAAGGCUGCAUAUGCCACUCCAAUUCCAGCACUUACAGAUCAAUCUCAGUGGCCUGAAGUGGAAAUUGAAUUUUCCAUGUGUCCUCCCCUAACAAAAAGAAAGGCUGGCAGGCCUAAAGAGAGUAGAUUCAAGGCAUGGUUUGAGAAAGGUGGGAGUAGUAAAAAGGGCAAGGGAAAGAAGGAUGCAAAGCCAAAAAGGUAA